rnacentral:rRNA from 1 species
GACGGAGGAUGCAAGCGUUAUCCGGAAUGAUUGGGCGUAAAGCGUCCGCAGGUGGCAGUUCAAGUCUGCUGUCAAAGACCGGGGCUUAACUUCGGAAAGGCAGUGGAAACUGAACAGCUAGAGUAUGGUAGGGGCAGAGGGAAUUCCUGGUGUAGCGGUGAAAUGCGUAGAGAUCAGGAAGAGCAUCGGUGGCGAAGGCGCUCUGCUGGACCAUAACUGACACUCAGGGACGAAAGCUAGGGGAGCGAAUGGG